GGGCCCCUUUGAUUCAAAGGAUUUUCAUAAGAAUUUUAGAGGUUUUGAAUCCUUAGGAUUUUUUCCUAUAUGAGCUGUUUGAUUUGUAGGAUUGAAACCCAUGGGAAAUUUUCCUAAGGAUUCUAUUGCACUAAAUUUCAUAGGAAUUUUUCCAUCCAUUCCAACCUCUUUUUCAAAUUCCUUUGUUUUUCCUGUGUUCAAUCAAACAAACAUUGGUCUAACACAAACCCUAUA
rnacentral:lncRNA from 1 species